CUACAGUUUGAAGAUGGAAACUUCUGUGGAGGGAAAGCUAUCAUAGCAGCAUGACAGAAGCAGCUGAUCAGACUUGGUCCUUAGUCAGGACACAGAAAGGUGGAACCUGCGACAAGGAGGAAGAAGCCCGCACAGGAAUUACGUUCUUCUCUUUCUCCCUCAGAAGCAAGCCUUAGCCAGCUUGUGCUGUGCCAACAUCAGAGGCAGAACUGAGGUAUGGCAGCAACAUGACCAGGAUGGGAGAGUGCUCUGGAGGAAGCCCCUGAAUUCCUGGCUUAAAAGGGAUAUGAAGUGACUCUCUAGAAAGAGAAAGUGGCUGUGGUACAUGUCCUCACUCCGUGCUGGUAGAGAU
ensembl:lincRNA Gm28075 predicted gene 28075